UACGUAGGGUGCGAGCGUUAAUCGGAAUUACUGGGCGUAAAGCGUGCGCAGGCGGGCUUUUAAGCCAGACGUGAAAUCCCUCGGCUCAACCGGGGAACUGCGUCCGAUACUGGAUGGCUUGGGUUCGGGAGAGGGAUGCGGAAUUCCAGGUGUAGCGGUGAAAUGCGUAGAUAUGCGGAGGAACACCGAUGGCGAAGGCAAUCCCCUGGGCCUGCACUGACGCUCAUGCACGAAAGCGUGGGGAGCAAACAGG
rnacentral:rRNA from 1 species